rnacentral:rRNA from 1 species
AACGAACGCUGGCGGCAUGCCUUACACAUGCAAGUCGAACGAGACCUUCGGGUCUAGUGGCGCACGGGUGCGUAACGCGUGGGAACCUGCCCUUAGGUUCGGAAUAACUCCCCGAAAGGGGUGCUAAUACCGGAUAAUGUCUUCGGACCAAAGAUUUAUCGCCUUUGGAUGGGCCCGCGUUGGAUUAGCUAGUUGGUAGGGUAAAAGCCUACCAAGGCGACGAUCCAUAGCUGGUCUGAGAGGAUGAUCAGCCACACUGGGACUGAGACACGGCCCAGACUCCUACGGGAGGCAGCAGUGGGGAAUAUUGGACAAUGGGCGAAAGCCUGAUCCAGCAAUGCCGCGUGAGUGAUGAAGGCCUUAGGGUUGUAAAGCUCUUUUACCCGGGAUGAUAAUGACAGUACCGGGAGAAUAAGCGCCGGCUAACUCCGUG